AUACUUACCUGGCAGGGGAGACACCUUCAUCAUGAAGGAGGUUUUCCCAGGGUGAGGCUCAUCCAUUGCACUGCGGGUGUGCUGACCCCUGCGAUUUCCCCAAAUGCGGGAAACUCGACUGCAUAAUUUGUGGUAGUGGGGGACUGUGUUCGCGCUUUCCCCUA
rnacentral:snRNA from 1 species